UUGCUCUGGUAGCACAUAUACUAAAAUUGGAAUGAUACAGAGGAGAUUCACAUAGCCCCUGCAUAAGCAUGACAUGCAAAUUCAUACAGUGUUUCACAUAAAU
ensembl:snRNA U6 U6 spliceosomal RNA